AUGCAGCAGCAGCAGCAGCGGCACCAGGGUGGCGCGUCUCAGUACGGGGCGCCGGCGCCGGCGGACAUGGGGCCGUUCUCCGCGCAGCAGGCUCCGGGCCCGGUGCCGCUGAGCGUCCGGCCGCCGCCACCGACGCAGCAGCAGCAGCAGCAGAACUCGCAGCCGAGCUACGAUGAAUUGGCCGGCGCGUCGGGCGCCGGCGGAAGCGGCUUUCCCGACGACGACAUGCUGGGCGACUCCGGCGGGCACAGCGGCGGCGGGCUGGGGUCGGGCGGCAACCGGUGGCCGCGGGAGGAGACGCUGGCCCUCAUCAGGAUCCGGUCGGAGAUGGACACCACCUUCCGCGACGCCACCCUCAAGGGCCCCCUCUGGGAGGAGGUCUCCAGGAAGCUUGCGGAGCUGGGCUACAAGAGGAGCGCCAAGAAGUGCAAGGAGAAGUUCGAGAACGUGCACAAGUACUACAAGCGCACCAAGGAGGGCCGGGCCGGCAGGCAGGACGGCAAGAGCUACCGCUUCUUCCAGGAACUCGAGGCGCUGCACGCCGCCACCGCCGCCGCGCAGCAGCAGCAGCAGGACCACUUGCCGCUGGUCGUCAGUGCCGCCCCCCCGCCGCAGAUGCACGCCUUCUCCGCGCCGCAGCCGAUGAGCGCAAUGCCGCCGCCGCCGGGGCCGAUGCAGCCGGCCCCUAUAUCUUCGGCCGCCCCUGCGCCGGCCGUGGAGCCUCCCCAGCCGCCGCCUGUCAGCCUGCAAGGCUUGAGCUUCCCGUCCAUGUCCGACUCUGAGUCGGACGACGACGACGACUCCGAGGACGACGACAUGACGGCCGAGACCGGCGGCAGCCCGGAUGGCCUCGGCAAGCGCAAGCGCGGCGGCGGCGGCAGCAAGAAGAUGAUGGCUUUCUUCGAGGGCCUGAUGAAGCAGGUCGUACAGAGGCAGGAGGAGAUGCAGCAGCGGUUCCUGGAGACCAUGGAGAAGAGGGAGGCCGAGCGCACGGCGCGGGAGGAGGCCUGGCGCCGGCAGGAGGUGGCCCGGCUUAACCGCGAGCAGGAGCAGCUCGCCCAAGAGCGCGCAGCGGCGGCCUCCCGCGACGCCUCCAUCAUCGCCUUCCUCCAGCGCAUCGGUGGGCAGACCGUGCAUGUCCCACCCGUCGUCAUGCCCAUGCCAACGCCGAUGCAGGUCCAGACCCCGCCGCCGCCAAAGAAACCUCGACAGCACCUCCCACCCCCGCCGCCGUCACAGGCUACACAGCAGCCGCAGCCGCAGCCUCAGCCCAUCCCAGCUGCGCCCCUCCAACAGCAACCGCCGCCGCAACCACCGCAGCACAAGGAAACGACGCGCGAAGAGGUCGGGACGCCCCGCAGCGCACCGGCCCCGACUUCUGCCGGCUUAUCACUCGCGCUGGUUCCCGUCGCCACGGAGCAGCACGUCGUCGAGGCCGCUGGUCUGGGAGGAGGGGAGAGCGGAGGGGGGCCGUCGUCGUCACGGUGGCCCAAGACGGAGGUGCACGCGCUUAUCCAGCUCCGCAUGGACAUGGACAAUCGCUACCAGGAGAACGGACCAAAGGGCCCGCUGUGGGAGGAGAUCUCCGCCGGGAUGCGGCGGCUGGGUUACAGCCGCAACUCCAAACGGUGCAAGGAGAAGUGGGAGAACAUCAACAAGUACUUCAAGAAGGUGAAGGAGAGCAACAAGAGGCGGCCGGAGGACUCCAAGACAUGCCCGUACUUCCACCAGCUCGAGGCCAUCUACCGCAAGAAGCACAACGGCGGCGGCAGCAGCGGCGCCGCGGCCAACAACGCCGUCGUGUCUGUCCCUGCCGUCGCGGAGCAUCAGAACCUGAACCGGCACGAGAUCGAGAUCGAGGGGAAGAAGAUCAACGACACCGACAAGAGGAACAACGGAGGAGUCGGAGCCGCGCAGGUGCCGACAAGCAACGGGCAGACAACGCCGACGAUGGCCACGUUCGACCUGGGCGUAAAAAAGCCAGAAGACGCUGUGAGGGAGCUGAACGAGCAGCCGCACCGGGAGUUCACGACGGACGAGACCGACAGCGACGACAUGGGCGAUGACUACACUGACGACGGCGAGGACGGCGAGGACGACGGCAAAAUGCAGUACAGGAUACAGUUCCAGAGGCCAAACCCGGUCGGCACCAACAAUGCGCCUCCACCGCCAACCACCGCGGCGACAGCAGCGCCGACAUCGACCCCCGCGAGCUCCUUCCUCGCCAUGGUUCAGUAG
rnacentral:rRNA from 1 species